UACGUAGGGGGCUAGCGUUGUCCGGAAUCAUUGGGCGUAAAGAGCGUGUAGGCGGUCCGGUAAGUCCGCUGUGAAAGUCGGGGGCUCAACCCUCGAAUGCCGGUGGAUACUGUCGGGCUAGAGUGCGGAAGAGGCGAGUGGAAUUCCUGGUGUAGCGGUGAAAUGCGUAGAUAUCGAGAGGAACACCUGCGGCGAAGGCGGGUUGCUGGGCCGACACUGACGCUGAUGCGCGAAAGCCAGGGGAGCGAACGGG
rnacentral:rRNA from 1 species